rnacentral:rRNA from 1 species
GGACCUGACUGCUAUCGGAUUGAUACUAAGCCAUGCGAGUCAUUGUAGCAAUACAAGGCAUACGGCUCAGUAACGCGUAGUCAACCUAACCUAUGGACGGGAAUAACCUCGGGAAACUGAGAAUAAUGCCCGAUAGAACAUUAUGCCUGGAAUGGUUUAUGUUCCAAAUGAUUUAUCGCCGUAGGAUGGGACUGCGGCCUAUCAGUUUGUUGGUGAGGUAAUGGCCCACCAAGACUAUUACAGGUACGGGCUCUGAGAGGAGUAGCCCGGAGAUGGGUACUGAGACACGGACCCAGGCCCUAUGGGGCGCAGCAGGCGAGAAAACUUUGCAAUGUGCGAAAGCACGACAAGGUUAAUCCGAGUGAUUUGUGCUAAACGAAUCUUUUGUUAGUCCUAGAAACACUAACGAAUAAGGGGUGGGCAAGUUCUGGUGUCAGCCGCCGCGGUAAAACCAGCACCUCAAGUGGUCAGGAUGAUUAUUGGGCCUAAAGCAUCCGUAGCCGGCUCUGUAAGUUUUCGGUUAAAUCUGUACGCUUAACGUACAGGCUGCCGGGAAUACUGCAGAGCUAGGGAGUGGGAGAAGUAGACGGUACUCGGUAGGAAGUGGUAAAAUGCUUUGAUCUAUCGAUGACCACCUGUGGCGAAGGCGGUCUACUAGAACACGUCCGACGGUGAGGGAUGAAAGCUGGGGGAGCAAACCGGAUUAGAUACCCGGGUAGUCCCAGCUGUAAACUAUGCAAACUCAGUGAUGCAUUGGCUUGUGGCCCAAUGCAGUGCUGCAGGGAAGCCGUUAAGUUUGCCGCCUGGGAAGUACGUACGCAAGUAUGAAACUUAAAGGAAUUGGCGGGGGAGCACUGCAACGGGAGGAGCGUGCGGUUUAAUUGGAUUCAACGCCGGAAAACUCACCAGGGCCGACUGUUAGAUGAAGACCAGUGUAACGAACUUGUCGGAUUUUCAGAGAGGUGGUGCAUGGCCGUCGUCAGUUCGUACUGUAAAGCGUUCUGUUAAGUCAGAUAACGAACGAGACCCUCAUCUCUAUUUGCUACCUGUCUCUCCGGAGACAGCGCACUAUAGGGAGACCGCUGGUGUUAAACCAGAGGAAGGCGAGGGCAACGACAGGUCAGUAUGCCCCGAAUGUCCUGGGCUACACGCGCGCUACAAAGGACGGGACAAUGGGAAGCUAGGCCGAGAGGCCACGCUAACCCGAAACCCGUUCGUAGUUCGGAUUGAGGGCUGUAACUCGCCCUCAUGAAGCUGGAUUCCGUAGUAAUCGUGUUUCAAUAUAGCACGGUGAAUAUGCCCCUGCUCCUU